GACAGAGGGUGCAAACGUUGUUCGGAAUUACUGGGCGUAAAGCGUGCGCAGGCGGCUUUGCAAGACAGAUGUGAAAUCCCCGGGCUUAACCUGGGAACUGCAUUUGUGACUGCAUGGCUAGAGCGCGGCAGAGGGGGAUGGAAUUCCGCGUGUAGCAGUGAAAUGCGUAGAUAUGCGGAGGAACACCGAUGGCGAAGGCAAUCCCCUGGGCCUGCACUGACGCUCAUGCACGAAAGCGUGGGGAGCAAACAGG
rnacentral:rRNA from 1 species